AGUUACCAGCACGUUAUGGUGGGCACGUCUAAGGAGACUGCCGGUGGACAAACCGGAGGAAGGUGGGGAUGACGUCAAGUCAUCAUGGCCCUUACGGCCUGGGCUACACACGUGCUACAAUGGUCGGUACAAAGGGUUGCCAAGCCGCGAGGUGGAGCUAAUCCCAUAAAACCGAUCGUAGUCCGGAUCGCAGUCUGCAACUCGACUGCGUGAAGUCGGAAUCGCUAGUAAUCGUGAAUCAGAAUGUCACGGUGAAUACGUUCCCGGGCCUU
rnacentral:rRNA from 1 species